GCGGGUACUGCUCACGGCUAGAACGCUUGCUUUGCAUGCAGGAAGUCUGGGGUUCGAUUCCCCAUACCGCCA
rnacentral:tRNA from 1 species